AACGCACCUUGCGCUCCUUGGUAUUCCGAGGAGCAUGCCUGUUUGAGUGUCAUUAAAUUCUCAACCUUUUCAGCUUUUGCAAGUUGAAUUUGGCUUGGAUGUGGAGGUUGCGGGCUUCUCAGAAGUCGGCUCUUCUUAAAUGCAUUAGCGGAACCUUUGUGGACCAGCUUUGGUGUGAUAAUUAUCUACGCCACUGUUGUGAAACAGCUUUACAUGGGGUUCAGCUUCUAACUGUCCAUUGACUUGGACAAUUUUUGACAUCUUGACCUCAAAUCAGGUAGGACUACCCGCUGAACUUAA
rnacentral:misc_RNA from 1 species